GAGUUUGAUCCUGGCUCAGAACGAACGCUGGCGGCAGGCUUAACACAUGCAAGUCGAGCGCCCCUCCUUCAAGCAAGCUUGAAGGAUUUAGAUCCUUGGAAAGGAAGAUCAGGACAGCUUCUAAGAAGCUUUCUUGAUGGAGGGGAGCGGCAGACGGGUGAGUAACACGUGGGAACAUACCCUUUUCUGCGGAAUAACUCUGGGAAACUGGAACUAAUACCGCAUACGCCCUACGGGGGAAAGAUUUAUCGGAGAAGGAUUGGCCCGCGUUGGAUUAGCUAGUUGGUAGGGUAAUGGCCUACCAAGGCGACGAUCCAUAGCUGGUCUGAGAGGAUGAUCAGCCACAUUGGGACUGAGACACGGCCCAAACUCCUACGGGAGGCAGCAGUGGGGAAUAUUGGACAAUGGGGGCAACCCUGAUCCAGCCAUGCCGCGUGAGUGAAGAAGGCCUUAGGGUUGUAAAGCUCUUUCACUGGAGAAGAUAAUGACGGUAUCCGGAGAAGAAGCCCCGGCUAACUUCGUGCCAGCAGCCGCGGUAAUACGUAGGGUGCGAGCGUUAAUCGGAAUUACUGGGCGUAAAGCGUGCGCAGGCGGUUUGCCAAGACAGGCGUGAAAUCCCCGGGCUUAACCUGGGAACUGCGCUUGUGACUGGCAGGCUAGAGUACGGCAGAGGGGGGGUGGAAUUCCACGUGUAGCAGUGAAAUGCGUAGAGAUGUGGAGGAACACCGAUGGCGAAAGCAGCCCCCUGGGCCCGUACUGACGCUCAUGCACGAAAGCGUGGGGAGCAAACAGGAUUAGAUACCCUGGUAGUCCACGCCCUAAACGAUGUCGACUAGUCGUUCGGAGCAGCAAUGCACUGAGUGACGCAGCUAACGCGUGAAGUCGACCGCCUGGGGAGUACGGCCGCAAGGUUAAAACUCAAAGGAAUUGACGGGGACCCGCACAAGCGGUGGAUGAUGUGGAUUAAUUCGAUGCAACGCGAAAAACCUUACCUACCCUUGACAUGCCAGGAAUCUUGCUGAGAGGCGAGAGUGCCUUCGGGAGCCUGGACACAGGUGCUGCAUGGCUGUCGUCAGCUCGUGUCGUGAGAUGUUGGGUUAAGUCCCGCAACGAGCGCAACCCUUGUCACUAGUUGCCAUCAUUUGGUUGGGCACUCUAGUGAGACUGCCGGUGACAAACCGGAGGAAGGUGGGGAUGACGUCAAGUCCUCAUGGCCCUUAUGGGUAGGGCUUCACACGUCAUACAAUGGUCGGUACAGAGGGUUGCCAAGCCGCGAGGUGGAGCCAAUCCCUUAAAGCCGAUCGUAGUCCGGAUCGUAGUCUGCAACUCGACUACGUGAAGUCGGAAUCGCUUGUAUUGCAGAUCAGCAUGCUGUGGUUAAUACGUUCCCGGGUCUUGUACACACCGCCCGUCACACCAUGGGAGUGGGUUUCACCAGAAGUAGGUAGCUUAACCUUCGGGGGGGCGCUUACCACGGUGAGAUUCAUGACUGGGGUGAAGUCGUAACAAGGUAACCA
rnacentral:rRNA from 1 species